AAUCAACGCUGGCGGCGUGCCUAACACAUGCAAGUCGCACGAGAAAGGGUCUUCGGAUCUGAGUAAAGUGGCGCACGGGUGAGUAACACGUGAAUUAUCUACCUUCGAGUGGGGAAUAACUUCGGGAAACCGAGGCUAAUACCGCAUAAUAUCUACGGAUCAAAGCAGUAAUGGGCUUGAAGAGGAGUUCGCGGCAGAUUAGUUAGUUGGCGGGGUAAUGGCCCACCAAGACGAUGAUCUGUAUCCGGCCUGAGAGGGCGAACGGACACACUGGAACUGAAACACGGUCCAGACUCCUACGGGAGGCAGCAGUGGGGAAUUUUGCGCAAUGGGGGAAACCCUGACGCAGCAACGCCGCGUGGAGGAUGAAGUCUCUUGGGACGUAAACUCCUUUCGAUAGGGAAGAUUAUGACGGUACCUAUAGAGGAAGCCCCGGCUAACUUCGUGCCAGCAGCCGCCGCCG
rnacentral:rRNA from 1 species